rnacentral:lncRNA from 1 species
UCAGCGGCGCGCAAGCGGGGGUGCUUGUGCCGUUGGGCUGAAACGGCUACCGGGCGCGGGCACCUCUACCUGUGUUGGCCGGCCACUGACACGUCAGCGAGAGGCACCGCAAUCUGGCCGCCCUGGAUCGGCACCUUCCCUUCUGAAGAGGGAGGAGCCCCGUGGCGUGCGGUACCCCAGGGCCAGCUUUGGGGCUACAGGAAAGUCUAUGCUCAAAAAAACGACACCGGGCACCUCUCAAUCCGAGUUGCUGUCGAUCAUGUUUCAUACAACUGAAAGAAGUUUCUAGAACCUUUUAUCCUAGUUCUGCCCAAGUAAGAUUUUCGUAUUUCUCAAGUUUCAAGCUACGCAUUGUACAUUAUAGCAACUUCAGUCCUGCCCUAGAAGCAACCCCAGCCUGUUUUGUUGAUUCCAUCUAUUCCAGUUUCCUCUUGUCCCAGUUGUAGCAACCAGUUAGGGAGAAAACAAAUACUUUAUAAACAGUAAUCUCAAUCUACAAAAUAGUUAUACGCGUUAAUCUGUAACUCAAGACAGCUAAAGCGCCUAAGAUUUACCCCAAACAAGGAAACAACUGUCAAUACUAAAGAAAUACACAAAACUUUAAGCAAAUAAUGUUUAUUUUUAUAUUGAUGAUACACUUAAUAUAUACGUGAUUCAAGAUACAAAAUUCAUUUACAAGAGUUCACACUAGAUGAAUGUAUACACAUUCCUAGAGAAUAUUUAUCAAUGCAAAAUUCUUUAUUACACUGACC